UACGUAUGGGGCAAGCGUUAUCCGGAUUUACUGGGUGUAAAGGGAGCGUAGGCGGCGGGGCAAGCCUGACGUGAAAGCCCGGGGCUCAACCCCGGGACCGCAUUGGGAACUGCCCUGCUGGAGUGCCGGAGGGGCAGGCGGAAUUCCUAGUGUAGCGGUGGAAUGCGUAGAUAUUAGGAGGAACACCAGUGGCGAAGGCGGCCUGCUGGACGGUGACUGACGCUGAGGCUCGAAAGCGUGGGGAGCAAACAGG
rnacentral:rRNA from 1 species